UUUGAGUAAAUCCCUUAAAAUAUACUAAAGUUGGAAUGAUACAGAGAUUAGCAUGGCCCCUGAGCAAGGAUGAUGUGCAAAUUCAUGAAUCAUUCCAUAUUUUU
ensembl:snRNA U6 U6 spliceosomal RNA